UGUACUAAGAAAAAAACCAAACCGUCCUUUCAAGGAGCUUACAAUCUAAUGGAGGAAGACAACACACAAAAUAAGCCAGAAAGCAAGGUGGGGAGGGUAGCCAGGGAAGGUACCCCAUGGAGAGGCACAGCAGAAAAACCAGAGAAGUCCCCGAGUAGUGCAGCUAGGUGAGAAAUGAUUUCCUGAAAUAUGCUGUCCAGACUCUUCCUUUGUUCACAUUUUUGAGGAUGUGUGGUGGUUCAGCAGUUGCCUCUCCGCAGCCGGUCAUCUUUACUCCACCAUCUUUACUCCUGGUGACUUUCCAUCACGUUUUGCAGCCUUUUUGUCUUUCAGUAGAACAAUUUGAUUUCUCAUUUACUCCUGAUUUCUGUCUCAGUUUUCCACAGGCCUCUCCAUCUUUAUUUUCAUUAUCAUUCUAUCUUGUUCCCCUUUUUUGGGGGGGGGUACCUAAUGACAGGUCUCACCAGUUCCAUAUUUCCCUGUAAGUGUUUAUUAUUGAAUUUGAUGAGUCUUGUGAAAGUUCUGGAUUCAUUUCUGGGACUAUUGUUGGUGCUAGUUCAUUCUUUUUUCCUUCUGGUACCUUUUCUUUGAAUUCUUUCAAUACAGAAAAUAUAUUCAUCACGUUUUUCAGUGUUAUUUGGCCUGCUUGCUCAUUUCCUUAACCAUUCCUUUGCCCUUUCUGAGAGGCUAUUAUCUUUUCAGGAUCUUUGAUGGUCUCUUCUUCCUACCUCUUCUCCCUCCCCUUUUAGCUAUUUUUAUAUAUUUCUGCCUCUGUUCUUCUGGAGGGUACUGGGGACCUGGGCUUUCUAAUACCAUCUUUCUGAAAAGGUAGAAACUUUCAGUUAUACCAAUAUUUAAGUAGGAAACUAAGUGAACUGAAGAAUCAUUUAGUGGGAAAAGCACAGGCUUUGGAGAGAAAGGAAGUGGAUUUGAUUCGUGCUUCUGCUAUUUACUGGGUGGCACUGGUCAACUUUGCUUCACUCUCUGGGCUUCUUCCUCCUCUGUAAAAUGGAGGGACAGAUGAUGAUCUCGAUAGAUGAUCUCAAAAGCUCCUUCAAGCUCUAAAUGCUCUGAUCCAAUUUUUAUGUCCUCAACAACACUACAAAGUGGACAAAAUUUUGUACCCUGUCCUCUCAAGCACCGGGAGCGUUGUGGUACACCUUGGCUACCCAAAACCUUCCCCCCGACUGGUUUCCUUUCCCAUUAUGCCCCAGCUUGUAGAUCUUUCCCUCCUGCUAGGCCUGUCAUUAGCAGCAAGCCCUAAGAGCACCCACAGCACCUUCUGGGAGUGAGAGAACAUGCUUCACUCACCACUUCCUCCCCUGCUAGGCUCCACCCUCCAUUCCCUACAGGGAUGCAGCCCAUGAGCUGAGGUUUCCUUCCUCCCUUCCACUCGGCGGCUGCACCCCAGAGACGGCACAGGGUCGGGCAAGAAAACAACUGACGUGUAUCUGGAAGAGGCCAAGACACUAGAUGAAACAAGCAGCCUUCAGUUUAUCACCA